CCCCACGUUCAUCUGUGAUGAUCUGAACAGGUAAAUGACAUUCUCCUCUCCCCACAUUCAUCUGUGAUGAUCUGAACAGGUAAAUGACAUUCUCCUCUCCCCACGUUCAUCUGUGAUGAUCUGAACAGGUAAAUGACAUUCUCCUCUCCCCACGUUCAUCUGUGAUGAUCUGAACAGGUAAAUGACAUUCUCCUCUCCCCACGUUCAUCUGUGAUGAUCUGAACAGGUAAAUGACAUUCUCCUCUCCCCACGUUCAUCUGUGAUGAUCUGAACAGGUAAAUGACAUUCUCCUCUCCCCACGUUCAUCUGUGAUGAUCUGAACAGGUAAAUGACAUUCUCCUCUCCCCACGUUCAUCUGUGAUGAUCUGAACAGGUAAAUGACAUUCUCCUCUCCCCACGUUCAUCUGUGAUGAUCUGAACAGGUAAAUGACAUUCUCCUCUCCCCACGUUCAUCUGUGAUGAUCUGAACAGGUAAAUGACAUUCUCCUCUCCCCACGUUCAUCUGUGAUGAUCUGAACAGGUAAAUGACAUUCUCCUCUCCCCACGUUCAUCUGUGAUGAUCUGAACAGGUAAAUGACAUUCUCCUCUCCCCACGUUCAUCUGUGAUGAUCUGAACAGGUAAAUGACAUUCUCCUCUCCCCACGUUCAUCUGUGAUGAUCUGAACAGGUAAAUGACAUUCUCCUCUCCCCACGUUCAUCUGUGAUGAUCUGAACAGGUAAAUGACAUUCUCCUCUCCCCACAUUCAUCUGUGAUGAUCUGAACAGGUAAAUGACAUUCUCCUCUCCCCACGUUCAUCUGUGAUGAUCUGAACAGGUAAAUGACAUUCU